UACGUAGGCAGCAAGCGUUGUUCGGAAUUACUGGGCGUAAAGAGUGUGUAGGCGGUGUUCUAAGUCUGUUGUGAAAUCUCCCGGCUUAACUGGGAGGGUGCGGCGGAAACUGGAAUGCUAGAGGAUGGGAGAGGUAAGCGGAAUUCCUGGUGUAGCGGUGAAAUGCGUUGAGAUCGGAAGGAACGCCCGUGGCGAAAGCGGGCUCCUGGACCCCACCUGACGCUGAGACGCGAAAGCCAGGGGAGCGAACGGG
rnacentral:rRNA from 1 species